UACGAAGGGGGCUAGCGUUGUUCGGAAUUACUGGGCGUAAAGCGCACGUAGGCGGAUUGUUUAGUGAGGGGUGAAAUCCCAGGGCUCAACCCUGGAACUGCCUCUCAUACUGGCAAUCUCGAGUUCGAGAGAGGUGAGUGGAAUUCCGAGUGUAGAGGUGAAAUUCGUAGAUAUUCGGAGGAACACCAGUGGCGAAGGCGGCUCACUGGCUCGAUACUGACGCUGAGGUGCGAAAGCGUGGGGAG
rnacentral:rRNA from 1 species